rnacentral:rRNA from 1 species
CUAUUCCUACGGGGGGCAGCAGUAGGGAAUCUUCCACAAUGGACGAAAGUCUGAUGGAGCAACGCCGCGUGAGUGAAGAAGGGUUUCGGCUCGUAAAGCUCUGUUGGUAGUGAAGAAAGAUAGAGGUAGUAACUGGCCUUUUUUUGACGGUAAUUCCUUAGAAAGUCACGGCUAACUUCGUUCCAGCAUCCGCGGUAAUACGUAGGUGGCACGCGUUUUCCGGAUUUAUUGGGCGUA